rnacentral:rRNA from 1 species
AUUGAACGCUGGCGGCAGGCCUAACACAUGCAAGUCGAGCGGAUGAGUGGAGCUUGCUCCAUGAUUCAGCGGCGGACGGGUGAGUAAUGCCUAGGAAUCUGCCUGGUAGUGGGGGACAACGUUUCGAAAGGAACGCUAAUACCGCAUACGUCCUACGGGAGAAAGCAGGGGACCUUCGGGCCUUGCGCUAUCAGAUGAGCCUAGGUCGGAUUAGCUAGUAGGUGAGGUAAUGGCUCACCUAGGCGACGAUCCGUAACUGGUCUGAGAGGAUGAUCAGUCACACUGGAACUGAGACACGGUCCAGACUCCUACGGGAGGCAGCAGUGGGGAAUAUUGGACAAUGGGCGAAAGCCUGAUCCAGCCAUGCCGCGUGUGUGAAGAAGGUCUUCGGAUUGUAAAGCACUUUAAGUUGGGAGGAAGGGCAGUAAGUUAAUACCUUGCUGUUUUGACGUUACCAACAGAGUAAGCACCGGCUAACUUCGUGCCAGCAGCCGCAGUAACAC